AUCGUUCAUCUCAUUAAAUGAGUGAGACGGAAGUAGGUUGAAAACCGAAGGAACGCUGU
ncrna:unclassified sequences Glutamine riboswitch